UUGGUGAGUAUAGCUAUGGGGGUACACCUAGUUACAUUCCGAACCUAGAAGUUAAGCCCAUAUACGCUGAUGGUACUUGGCUGGAAGCGGCCUGGGAGAGUAUGGAUUUGCCAAGC
rnacentral:rRNA from 2 species